GGCAGCAGUCGAGAAUCUUUCGCAAUGGGCGAAAGCCUGAUGGUGCGACGCCGCGUGGAGGAUGAAGGCCUUCGGGUCGUAAACUCCUGUCAUCAGGGAGUAAGGUCGUAUGUAGUAACUGACAUACGGAUUGAUAGUACCUGAAGAGGAAGAGACGGCUAACUCUGUGCCAGCAGCCGCGGUAAUACAGAGGUCUCAAGCGUUGUUCGGGAUCACUGGGCGUAAAGCGUGCGUAGGCGGUAAGGUAAGUCAGAUGUGAAAGCCCGGGGCUCAACUCCGGAACUGCAUCCGAUACUGCCUUACUUGAGGACUGGAGGGGAGUCUGGAAUUCAUGGUGUAGCAGUGAAAUGCGUAGAUAUCAUGAGGAACACUAGUGGCGAAGGCGAGACUCUGGACAGUUCCUGACGCUGAGGCACGAAGGCUAGGGUAGCGAAGCGGAUUAGAUACCCGCGUAGUCCUAGCAGUAAACGGUGCACGUUUGGUGUGGGAGGAUUCGACCCCUUCCGUGCCGGAGCUAACGCGUUAAACGUGCCGCCUGGGGAGUACGAUCGCAAGAUUAAAACUCAAAGGAAUUGACGG
rnacentral:rRNA from 1 species